GCUGCUAUAUCCAUAGCCACUAAACUAACAGACCUGCAACUUGGAGACUCAGUGGAAAUCAGUAGGCUGAUUACCAAAAAAGAAAUGAAGCAAACAAGGUUGCAGUGUAAUGAAGAGUGUUUCGCCCUUGAAAGGAACAGACGCUUUGCUGAAGCCCUCCAUAUCCGUGAUAAUUCUGACCCUUUUAAUAUCCGUUCUUCUGGAUCAAAGUACAGUGAUAAUUUAAAAGAAGAUGCAAGGAAAGAUUUAAAGUUUGUCAGUGAUAUUGAGAAGGAAAUGAGAACACUCGUCGAAGCUGUAAAUAAGG